AACGAACGCUGGCGGCAGGCUUAACACAUGCAAGUCGAACGCCCCGCAAGGGGAGUGGCAGACGGGUGAGUAACGCGUGGGAACGUACCUUUCGCUUCGGAAUAUUCCCGGGAAACUGGGAGCAAUGCCGAAUACGCCGUAUUGGGAAAGAUUUAUCGGCGAAAGAUCGGCCCGCGUUAGAUUAGGUAGUUGGCGGUGUAAUGGACCACCAAGCCUACGAUUUAUAGCUGGUCUGAGAGGAUGAUCAGCCACACUGGGACUGAGACACGGCCCAGACUCCUACGGGAGGCAGCAGUGGGGAAUCUUGGACAAUGGGCGCAAGCCUGAUCCAGCCAUGCCGCGUGAGUGAAGAAGGCCUUAGGGUUGUAAAACUCUUUCGCCGGUGAAGAUAAUGACGGUAACCGGAGAAGAAGCCCCGGCUAACUUCGUGCCAGCAGCCGCAGUAA
rnacentral:rRNA from 1 species